UACAGAGGUGGCAAGCGUUGUUCGGAAUUACUGGGCGUAAAGGGCGAGUAGGCGGCCUUCUAAGUCAGACGUGAAAUCCCCCGGCUUAACCUGGGAACUGCGUCUGAUACUGGGAGGCUAGAGUAUGGGAGAGGGAUGUAGAAUUCCAGGUGUAGCGGUGAAAUGCGCAGAUAUCGGGAGGAACACCGGUGGCGAAGGCGGUUCUCUGGGCCUUACCUGACGCUGAGGAGCGAAAGCGUGGGGAGCGAACAGG
rnacentral:rRNA from 1 species